rfam:Arabis alpina cultivar Pajares chromosome 7, whole genome shotgun sequence.
GUCUCUUCGGGCAUCCGAUAAAAUUGGAACGAUAUAGAGAAGAUUAGCCUGGCUCCUUUGCAAGGAUGACGCGCACAAAUCGAGAAAUUGUCUAAGCUUUU